rnacentral:rRNA from 1 species
GGGUUGUGAGGUUAAGCGACUAAGCGUACACGGUGGAUGCCCUGGCAGUCAGAGGCGAUGAAGGACGUGCUAAUCUGCGAUAAGCGUCGGUGAGGUGAUAUGAACCGUUAUAACCGGCGAUUUCCGAAUGGGGAAACCCAGUGUGUUUCGACACACUAUCAUUAACUGAAUCCAUAGGUUAAUGAGGCGAACCGGGGGAACUGAAACAUCUAAGUACCCCGAGGAAAAGAAAUCAACCGAGAUUCCCCCAGUAGCGGCGAGCGAACGGGGAGGAGCCCAGAGCCUGAAUCAGUGUGUGUGU